rnacentral:lncRNA from 1 species
CACCGCCUGUACUAACCACCACCACCACAACCACAACAUCCCUAAAUCUAUCAUCUAUUAAUUAUGCAAAUUUCUACAAAAGUUCACAUUCACAAAAUUCACGCAAUCGAAAUUUGCUUUGCUAUUCUUCGGACUCAUCGAACACGUAACAUUCAGACGCCAUUCCUAACCAAGAUGGUAGAAACCAUGGUCGCUGCCACCCCUACCCAACAUCCCCAUAUCAUGGCCCACCUAUUGACACCUUGGGUUCCCACCAAUUUCAACAGAUUAUGCAACCCAUUCUUCCAGUUUGCACACAAUGUGCUCGCAAAAAAUCGUUUUCUCCUCUGAUUCUUCUCUGACACUGUUUUGAUGAAAGCAUUCAACUAGUGGGUUACCAAAAUCUGGGGCUAAAAGGUUAUUAGGUUUCCAAAAUUGAAGGGCUAUCGAGGUUGCACCAUUUGGUUUUACAGUGGUCGGAUUUUAUUGUGGCUAGAUUUUGUUGGGUUACAGUAGUCGAAAGAUGAGUCAUCAUCGGGGGAAUUUUGCUAAUUAUUUUUGUUGGAUUAAUCAUUUUGCUGGAUUUCUGUUUGAUGGUGGCGGCAUUGAAGUUGGCCGACAGUGGUGUUGACAGUGGCUGCCUAUUUUUAGAGGCAGGGUUGGG